UACAAUUCUAGUUAGAAGCAAAACUGGGACAAGAAUUCAGGUUUUCUAAGUCCAGGUAGGUUUUGUUGCUAUUCUUCAACUCUGCCUCCCAUAAUUUAAAAAAUCCUCAAUCAUAAAUGUUCCAUUGUAAUUAGCUUCAGAAAACAUUGCAGGCUACAGAGUAAAAUGCUAGUUUUAAUAAUAUUGAUCUUUGCUUCUUUUUCUCACCUGAAAAAUAAGAUACAUUAAAAGAAAUAGAAAAUGUACAAGUAUUGGUAAAACAGAAAAACAAAACAAAGAAAAAAAACCCCAAAGCUUGAACUAAAUUAAUUUGUGUUGAGACACAUACUUUAAGCCAUUUACCAUCUUUAUCUGUCUACCUUUUAAAGGCACGUCUAAAUCCAGUUCUCAUGACUUUAAACCAAAACGAUAUAAUUUCCCUUGUUAUUUUAAUGGUUUCUUCCAAAUUACUUGGUUAGCAAGAAACAGAUAGAGGGCAGCAUGGGACCAGCGUGCUAGCUGCCCUUUCGGAGAACAGGACUGCAUAAGUUGCACAUUGGAAGAGGUAGCCAAGACAGAGAGAGAAGUAGCAGGCAUACCCCGCACCCUCUCCCCCACCUCUCCAGAAAGCAAUGCUGCGCCUCUUGCUCAUUGUUUAAGAAGAAAAGGGGGAACUUGGAGACACAGCCAAUGAAGGAUAAAUGAGUGCUCUGCUAGUUCAAAGUCAACGUGCAGAUUGGACAGAGGAAGCGUGCAGAGCUCAGAAGGUUUUAGGCCACACAAUAUCUGAAUCCACCGUUGCUUUCAGCAAUCCUGGUAAUAAAAAUUAUUCAUCACUCAAAACUAAGAUCAGAUGUCACUUCCUUUAUAAACUAUUUCCUGAAUCCCUAAUCAGGUAAGAGCUACCUUAGAACUGUACAGUGAUUUAACACCUUAAAGCCAUUAUUA
rnacentral:lncRNA from 1 species